AUGUCCGCAGGCUGCCGAUUAGUAUCCGCAGGCUCCCACCGGGCCCCCGCCACCGAUAAGCUACAAGGAGGAGCUUUACCACUGGCUGUACUACUACUACUUGCGCGACUUCUCAGCCUGAGGCGUAGGGCGCAGCAAGGGCCUGACGCUGAAAGAGCAGGCGCUGCGCACCAAGCGGCUGUCGCCUGGCGGGCACAAGCACAAGGUCGGGCAGAAGCUUCUCAGUGGCCACCGCAAGCCCGCUAGCUCCGGCUGCAGCCCUUGCCGCACACUCGCCUCACCUGAGCCUGGGCCAGCUGCAGGAUCUGCUGCCACCACUGGGGACAUUGGCAAGGGAAUGCCCCUCUAGGGGAGCUGGGGGACCCAGGACGUGGGUCUUGCAGUGGCCAGGGCCUGCUGCUGCCUGCGCAUGACAUGGUCAGAGAAGGUGGUCGGCACUCACGAGAAAGCAUUGGCAGGUGAGAUUUCACCAAGGUGAAAACGCACACCCCACACGUGGUCCCACACAUGACACGGGUGGGGGUCGGCUGCCCCUUCCCUGACCUGAGGGUGUCACUGAUGUGAGAACCACUGCCUGGGACUCUACUGGGGCAGGCACCCCUACCCCAGGCCUGCAACACCAACCUCUGCUUUUUUGAGGGGUCGGGGGAUCAGGCACUCGGACCCAGAGGACCCAGGCCAAGAAGGUUUGGUGGCCUCAGCCUGGCUCUGGGAUGCUUGGCACAGCCCCCUCCCCUGGAAGGGCUAAUACUUAGCACCCCAGUCUGCACGCUGGGCGAUUCCACCCUUGUGCCAGGUUCAGGUCCCCUUGUGCGAUCUGGGCCCUCAGAGAUGCCACAAGUCCAGGCCCCCUAGAGGGGUCCGCUGCCGGCAGUGGAUACACUGGCCCCGCCAGGGGUGGCACCAUCUGCUCCCCCAGGGCACGGCCGGGCCCCAGCACUCACCAUGGGGGCUUCUGGCGCCAACCCUCUUAAGUAGACACUUGGCACAAAAAAAGGACGCUUCUGGGAGAGACAAAAGUGGAAAAGUGGCGAGGGGAGCGGGGACGCUGCCCGGUUUCCCAGUGGGGCUGAUCACCAGAAAUGUACCUGUCCCCUCCACGGGGCUCCCCCUCUUCUCCCACCAGAAGCCAGCAGACAGCCCUGCGCAGAAGGAGGCGGGGGCAGGCGUGACAGUGGCAGGCGGGAACUGCUGGUCGGGGUGGUCUUAUUUGGGGGCUGUUUCUUUUAUAAUCUGUCAAGGCCAGAAGCAGCCGUCCAGGAUCCCGGAAUUGCAGUGGGCGAGGGCAGCACGGACGAUCCAUCCUGGGACAGCUGUGCGAAGUCCAGACCCACAGGGUGCUGCAGUGGUCAGUCAGCAGCAGACGAAAGAGCCACCUCCCCAAAACAGUCCCCUCAUUCCCCACCUUCUGAGUCUUUGGGGGAGAACCAUUCUGGGUGCCUCAGUGCCUAAAGGGGCCCCGGGAGGCGGUCCCCCGGGCUGUGGCUCAGUGCGCAGCGGUGGCCUGGCGGGCUCCCCAUCAGACCGUGGCUGUGGCCAGUCAGGCCUGGAAGCUGCCAGGGCCGGCGCCUGCCUCCACCUUCCACGCAGCCCUGGCCAAAGUGCUGGCUUCCCGCUCCUCAGGGGUGGGCACAAGUGCUUGGGACAAGGCCACGCAUGUAGAUGCCGGCCACGUCCCUCUCUCUACGUCUCGGGUACACACCUGGGAAUAUUCUGUAAAAGUCCCCACUCCACCCUCACUGUUUCCAAACUGGGGACAACACAAAGCAGAACAAAACGAAAAGAAAUGCUCCAUCCAAGUGGCCUUUGGGUGUUACCGGGGACAUCCCUCCAGCUACCAAGCCCACAUGGGCUCCAGUGGGGUGCACUCCAGCUGGAGCAGGGUGGCGGUGUAGCCCUCUGGAGCCCCUGGGCAGCCCCAAGCAGCUAAUGUCACCCCUGGAGGCACAGCCCGGAGCAGCCCUGAGCCCCCAUGACUCCAGCCCAGGGACCCUUCCCAGCCUCUGCAGAGGGAUGGGGUACCUGGCCAGAAUAGAGGACCCUGGGCGUUUCUUCAACCUGUGAGGUCAGGCCGUUCUUUUUUUACAAAAAAAAAAAAAAAAAAA